GAUGAACGCUGGCGGCGUGCCUAAUACAUGCAAGUCGAGCGAACAGACGAGGAGCUUGCUCCUCUGACGUUAGCGGCGGACGGGUGAGUAACACGUGGAUAACCUACCUAUAAGACUGGGAUAACUUCGGGAAACCGGAGCUAAUACCGGAUAAUAUAUUGAACCGCAUGGUUCAAUAGUGAAAGACGGUUUUGCUGUCACUUAUAGAUGGAUCCGCGCUGCAUUAGCUAGUUGGUAAGGUCACGGCUUACCAAGGCAACGAUGCGUAGCCGACCUGAGAGGGUGAUCGGCCACACUGGAACUGAGACACGGUCCAGACGCCUACGGGAGGCAGCAGUAGGGAAUCUUCCGCAAUGGGCGAAAGCCUGACGGAGCAACGCCGCGUGAGUGAUGAAGGUCUUCGGAUCGUAAAACUCUGUUAUUAGGGAAGAACAAAUGUGUAAGUAGCUAUGCACGGCUUGACGGUACCUAAUCAGAAAGCCACGGCUAACUACGUG
rnacentral:rRNA from 1 species